CAUUUAAUAUUUAUUUAUUAUAUUUAAAUAUACAUAUUGGCUGUUCUUGGCAUUGCUUUCAUCUCAGGCCAUUUAUUUAUUUUUUGCUCCAUCUCGAUGGUCUAUUAGAAGAAGUACUUGUUGCCCGUAGACUGUGAUCAAUAAUCACAUGUGAUAAUUUAACUAAUUAUUUCUCAUUACAAUAUCUUCAUUUUAUUGGCAAUAACAAUUUCCCUGCUUUUUGAGCCAAGCCAUAUCAAAUAAAUCUUUAUUUUAUAGGGUAAAAUUUUAUUUCUUUUUUAUUACCUAAACAUAUUAGUGUGCCAAUCGGAUUUUUUCAACAUGCUCUUAGCCCUGGGAAUUUCUGUACUUUUAAAAAACAUCUCCCUUCACUCUUGACACCCACCCCAGUUUAGAUGCAUACUUAAACUUUUUGUGUAUGAGUAUAAAUAUAAAUUGCUCUAGAAUGCUUUUCCUUUGUGUUUCCUCCUCUCUGAAUGUGUGUAUUCUUUCUCUGGUUGUCCAGAGUAACAAACAGUAAUUUACUUGAUUAUAUAUUCAGUUGUAUCUCAACCUGUGGCUGGGAAAAGACAAUAAUCAUUUUGGUACAUUCCUUAAAUUGCUAUAUAUGGUAUUUAUUAAAUAUGUUUCAAUGAAAAUAUCUUUGAAGAGUUUCCUCCUCAUUGCAUUCGGUGAUUUGAUGUCUAUAAAUUUCACAAUUUUUCAAAACAUUUCAUUUCCCAUUCUAAACAUACUGACAUUCAACAUGUAUUUGUGGAAUAAAUAAAUGAGUUUAAUUGGUUUCAUUCAAACCUUUGUGUAAUAUCAAUAUAAGAUUUGCCAUAUUUGUAUUAUGUUCUUUUUUCCUCUUAGUAAUACUGAGUACUGUGGUUUAUUUAUAUGGAUGUCUUCCAAUCAAAUGUGGUUGGUUACUCCUGUAACCUUUGUGCCACUACUGCACCAGCAUAUCUUGGAGGCAGGUUGCUUUGUCUGAGGCCAGAUCUCAGUGUUUGUGCUUGGGAGGUGCUGAUGAUUACGUUUCUCGUCCUCUCAUAGUGUGCAGAGCACCUUAACCUUAGCCAUUAGGGAUGGAACUUCUAGUUGAGCACCAGUUUAAUGUUCAAUAAUAUAAGUAGUGUCUUCAGCAGUAGGGAUUUGCUAUCAGGUUGUAGAGAUCAAGUAACAAUAGUCUGUGAUACUUGAAGGGUUGUAUGGAAUCUGUCCAGUGACUCAACAGGAGAGAACCCAUUUGUAGCACUGGAGUUUUCACUUGGUGAGAUAAGCUAUCUAGUUGAGGCAUUGUCUCCCCCAGUAUAUGGGGGAGUAAAUAUAUUCUAUUUCAUUUCCUUGCAUAUUGUAUUUGCUUUAAAGAGCCUCUAUGCUUGUAGAUUUCUGUUGUAACACAGUCCCCAGAAUGCUGUUUUCUUAGUGAGGAGAAUUGGUGAAGAGAAUUCUGAGUGCUUGGGAGACUAUAAGACAACAAGACAAGAGUCUUGGAGCUCAGUUUCUUCAGAACACAGAACUUGCUUUUGGACUGCUUCGUGCUCCUCCCAGGUGUAGUGAAUAGGAGUGAGUUUAUUUCAGCUUAUCCAUCACAGCUAACUAUUGUUAUUUGUUUAUUACCACCAAGGAAAAGACAUUUUUGACAUGUGCAGCUUUCCUUGCAAUUGGACUCUUUACUCUUGUGAUUCUUAACUCUUACAGUUUAAAUUUUCUGAUGUUCUGAAUAAAGUUAGCUAUUGCAUGAGAACUUAGUCUACCUUCUUUUUAGGUUCUGUUAUCCCAGGCCCCUGUAGAGUGGUAAACAGUUUUUCCAUAUAUUUUUUGAAGGGGUCUUUAGUGUUAGUUGUCUUCUCUAUAUUUCCCACCCCCAUUAGACUUUUUUUUCACUAGCAUCUUAACUUCACCUUCAGAUUCGUUCAUUAGCCUAUUAAAGCCAGUCCUGGGCUUGGCUCCUGUCUGCCUUGUUUCUGAGGCUUACUUACUUACUGGAGUUACACAAAAUAGUUGUCUUUCUUCUUUUCUUUUUAACUUAUGUUCCUAACUUUGAAAAAUGGAAUAUUUGUCUUUUUGAGUCCUAGUUACCUCACGCAGGAUAAUUUUUGCUAUGUUUGUCCAUUUUCUUGCAAAUUUCAUUUUUCUUAACAGCUGAAUAAUAUUCCAUUGUGUAACUAUAAAACAUUUUCACUAUUCAACCAUUAGCUUAUGGACAUCUAUAAUGUUUCUAAAUUUUGGUGAUUAUAUAGAGAGCAGCAAUGGACAUGAAUGAGCAAAUAUCAACGUCUGAGUGGUGUCUUAGUCAGUGUUUCUAUUCGUACACAAAACAUCAUGGCCAAGAAGCAAGUUGGGGAGGAAAGGGUUUAUUCAGCUUACACUUGCACAUUGCUGUUCAUCACCAAAGGAAGUCAUGACAGGAACUCAAGCAGGUCAGGAACUUGGAGGCUGAAGUGGAUGCAGAAGCCAUGGAGGAGUUCUGUUUACUGUCUUUCUUCCCCUGGCUUUCUUAUAGAAUCAAAGAAUACUAGCCCAGGGAUGGCACUACCCAUGAUGGGCUAGGCCCUCAGUGCUUGAUCACUAUUUGAGAAAAUACCUUACAGCUGGAUCUCUUGGAGGCAUUUCCUCAAGGGAGGCUCCUUUGAUUACUCCAGCUUGUGUUAAGUUGAUACACAAAACUAGGAAGUACAAGUGUUAUAGUCGAAUCUUGAGGUAGAUGGAGACUCAGCUUCGUGAGGAACCUGUACUCUGAUUUCCAUAGUAGCUGUACCAGUUUUCACUCCCACCAGCAAUGACUAGUUCUUAGGCAGAUGGAUGGAACUAGAGAAUCUGUGAAUAUUCUUAAAGUUACUGAGUUCCGGCGAGGGAGCGAGUGCGCGCAUGCGCCCUCAGCUUCGGCUGCCCAGGGCGGCGUUUCCGCGGCGGCUUUCACUUCCUCCUUGUCGGAGCUGUAUCCGGGUCGCUGUUCUCCCUAUUGUCUCUGACAGAAGGCCCUCCGCUGUGCAAAUUCUGGGUCUUUUGUUGCUUCUGGUGCAGGCUAAUAAAGUUUUCUUUUUAUUUCCAGUUUUUACCGGGGCAGUUCCCCUCGCAGGGCGGCCGGUUCGGGCCUAGCGCCCCUGGCCGGGGAGCGCGGGGGAAGGGGCGCCGGGCGGGCGGGCGGGCGGGCGCGGGGCGUGGGGAGGGACAGUAGCCCACCCCCGGGGUCGCCCCUGCUCGGUCGGCGCAGCGCCCUGCCUCGGUAGCUGCUCUCCGACCGGUCUCCUUGGUCCUCUGCGCGUCCCUGCUGCCUUGCCUCUCGCAGCCUUCCCUAGCUCUCCAAACGACCACCUCACGGAUUCCUUAUGGAUCGCAGCUCCAAGAGGAGGCAGGUGAAGCCUUUGGCCGCUUCUCUCCUGGAAGCUCUUGAUUAUGAUAGUUCAGAUGACAGUGAUUUUAAAGUUGGAGAUGCUUCAGAUUCUGAAGGGAGUGGUAAUGGAAGUGAAGAUCCUUCAAAGGACAGUGGAGAAGGUUCCUGUAGUGAUUCUGAGGAAAACAUUUUAGAAGAAGAACUGAAUGAAGAUAUUCAAGUAAAAGAAGAACAGCUUAAAAAUUCUACAGAGGAAAUAAUGCCAUCAGACAAACAGUUAAUUAAAAUGGAAAAGAAGGAAGAAGAAGAAAACGGAGAAAGACCUAGAAAGAAAAAGGAGAAAGAAAAGGAGAAAGAAAAGGAAAGGGAGAAGGACAAAGAGAAAGCAACAGUAUCUGAUAGUGCAGCUGCUUCUGCUGCUGGCACCACACCAGCCACAAGCCCUCCUGCUGUCACCUCCCCUUCUGUCCCUACCACCACUACCACCACCACGGAGGAACAAGUCAGUGAGCCCAAGAAAUGGAAUCUUCGUCGGAACCGUCCCCUGUUGGACUUUGUAUCCAUGGAAGAACUCAAUGCUAUGGAUGAUUAUGACAGUGAGGAUGAUAAUGACUGGAGACCUACUGUAGUAAAGAGAAAGGGGCGAUCAGCGUCUCAGAAGGAGGGCAGUGAUGGAGACAAUGAGGAUGAUGACGAUGAGGGAAGUGGGAGUGAGGAAGAUGAGAAUGAUGAGGGCAAUGAUGAAGAUCAUAGCAGCCCUGCUAGCGAAGCAGGUGGCAAGAAGAAGAGGAGUAAAGUUCUUAGCAGAAACAGUGCUGAUGAUGAGGAACUGACCAAUGAUAGCCUGACCCUAUCUCAAAGCAAGAGUAAUGAGGACUCUCUGAUUCUUGAGAAGAGUCAAAAUUGGAGUUCUCAGAAAAUGGACCACAUUCUGAUUUGCUGUGUUUGUCUUGGAGAUAAUAGUGAAGAUGCAGAUGAAAUAAUUCAGUGUGAUAAUUGUGGCAUUACAGUUCAUGAAGGUUGUUAUGGAGUCGAUGGGGAGAGUGACUCUAUUAUGAGUUCGGCUUCUGAAAACUCCACUGAGCCUUGGUUUUGUGAUGCCUGUAAAUGUGGUGUAUCUCCUAGCUGUGAACUAUGUCCUAAUCAGGAUGGGAUUUUCAAGGAGACGGAUGCUGGAAGAUGGGUCCACAUUGUUUGUGCCCUAUAUGUUCCUGGAGUGGCUUUUGGAGAUAUUGAUAAAUUACGACCAGUAACGCUAACAGAAAUGAACUAUUCUAAAUAUGGUGCCAAGGAGUGUAGCUUUUGUGAAGAUCCUCGCUUUGCUAGAACUGGAGUUUGCAUUAGCUGUGAUGCAGGCAUGUGUAGAGCCUAUUUCCAUGUCACCUGUGCCCAAAAGGAAGGCCUGCUAUCAGAGGCAGCAGCAGAAGAGGAUAUAGCAGAUCCAUUUUUUGCUUAUUGUAAGCAGCAUGCAGACAGAUUAGACAGAAAAUGGAAAAGAAAAAACUACUUGGCUCUACAAUCCUAUUGUAAAAUGUCUUUGCAAGAGAGAGAAAAACAGCUGUCCCCUGAAGCACAGGCAAGGAUCAAUGCCCGACUACAGCAAUAUCGUGCCAAGGCAGAGCUGGCGCGAUCUACCAGACCACAAGCCUGGGUUCCAAGGGAAAAGCUACCCAGGCCACUGACAAGUAGUGCUUCGGCUAUUCGUAAGCUUAUGCGCAAAGCAGAGCUGAUGGGAAUCAGUACGGAUAUCUUUCCAGUGGACAACUCAGAUACUAGUUCUAGUGUGGAUGGAAGGCGGAAGCAUAAGCAGCCCGCUCUCACUGCUGAUUUUGUGAAUUACUAUUUUGAGAGAAAUAUGCGCAUGAUUCAAAUUCAGGAAAAUAUGGCUGAACAAAAGAAUAUAAAGGAUAAAUUAGAGAAUGAGCAAGAAAAGCUUCAUGUAGAAUAUAAUAAGCUCUGUGAAUCAUUAGAGGAACUGCAAAAUCUGAAUGGGAAACUUCGAAGUGAAGGGCAAGGGAUAUGGGCCUUACUUGGCCGAAUUACAGGGCAGAAGUUGAAUGUACCAGCAAUCUUACGAGCACCUAAGGAAAGGAAACCAAGUAAAAAAGAAGGAGGCACACAAAAGACAUCUGCUCUUCCUACAGUGCUUUAUAGUUGUGGAAUUUGUAAGAAGAACCAUGAUCAGCAUCUUCUUUUACUGUGUGACACCUGUAAACUGCAUUAUCAUCUCGGCUGCCUUGAUCCUCCUCUUACAAGGAUGCCGAGAAAGACGAAAAACAGUUACUGGCAAUGCUCAGAGUGUGACCAGGCAGGGAGCAGCGACAUGGAAGCAGAGAUGGCCAUGGAAACCUUACCAGAUGGAACAAAACGAUCAAGGAGACAGAUUAAGGAGCCAGUGAAGUUUGUGCCACAGGAUGUCCCACCAGAACCCAAGAAGAUUCCAAUAAGAAACACGAGAACCAGAGGACGAAAGCGAAGCUUUGUUCCUGAGGAAGAAAAACAUGAGGAAAGAGUUCCUAGGGAAAGGAGGCAGAGGCAGUCUGUGUUACAGAAGAAGCCCAAGGCUGAGGACUUAAGAACUGAGUGUUCAACUUGCAAAGGAACUGGAGAUAAUGAGAAUCUUGUCAGAUACCCUUCAUGAGACCCAACUCUGCCACAGCUCAUCCUCGGAGGCAAUCCCGGAAACCUCUUUUAUAAGUGUGAUUUUAAAAUGUGGAUAAAACUCUCAAUAGAGCAUAUAAACUAAAGGAGAACAGCUAUCUUGUUCUUCCCAUAAGCUUAUCACUGCAGAAAGUGCUUUUGCUUGUCAAGUUUGGAUAGAAUGUAAUUGAUUGCUUUAUUAUAUGGGUAGACAAGGCAGUUAAUUUGCCUGUGUGGAUUUUUUUCCCUUUUUCUGUUUUUCUGCUCUCUCUCUCUCUCUCUCUUUCUCUCUCUCUCUCUCUCUCUCUCUCUCUCUCUCUGUCUCUCUCUCUUUCUCUCUCUAUCUGUUACAAUAUUCAGAAACACUCGGUGUAUGCAUUAUUAAAAACAAUAGUGGUAAAUGUCUUGUCAGAAUUAUUUUAGUUGGUAAAUGUCUUUCCUCUUGUUUCUUUGGCAUAAGACAAUACAAUACAGUAUUUGGACUGAAAAUUAAAGAAAGCCAGUGGGACUUACGUGCUCUGUGCUACCCUGUUACUGAAUUAUUCUCUCUGUGUUAUUUGUUUGUAAAAAGGACAAUGCUUUCCACUGAUCUGCAAGUCUGUAUCACCUCACUUACUGCGAGUAUUCACACAUGAGAACAACCCUAGACUCAUAUUUAAUGCUAUUUCUAUUUGUGUAUUCAGCAAAAGUGAAGGACUGGUGAAGAUUACAACUGUUUGAGUACUGUGGAAGCACUUGAUGUCAGUACGGACAUUUUAUAACUAGAAUUUCAACUCAAGAAUGAACAUAGUAUCUGUAUUAGUAUCUAGGUAUUUUUCCAGAAAUAUCCAAAUUUAUUCCUUUUUGUUUUAUUUAAUAUAAACUUGCUGUGUUCCAUAUAAUUUUACUUGUUGAACCUAAAUGUGAAGCUAUGAAAUGAGGGAACUACAGAGCUUGUUGGGUAUACAGCCUGCCUGCUGAAAGCUCUUCACCAGCCCUGUGUCUUCCCAGAGCUUCACAGAGUUUACAUUUGAUCCUCACUCUUUACUGAUCCAGUUUUAAGUCAACGGCAGAAAUAACUUUGAAUAUUGCACCACUUAAUCUCGAACUGAUUUAGAAGAGCCUGCUGAAAAUGAAACGCACAUAUACAUGUAAAUUGUCAAGCUGUCUCUUAAAAUUCCAUUGCUUAUCAUUGUGGGUUUGGACCUUUUCAGGUAUAAGGGCAUUUGGAAUAGUUUAAACUUUAGCAUUAGAAUAGAUAAUAAAUGCAAGUGUAAUUGUAAAGCUGGUGUUGCUAGUAAUCUGUAGUUACAGGAACCACAUGACUGCAUAAAAUGUUUAGUAAAGUUAAACAUGUGUGAAAUAAUGUAUAAGGAUACUAGUAAUUUAUUGAUUUUAUUGCACUAGAAAAAAUACUCAUAAUUCUUAGGAAAAGCAGUAUACUUUCUUUGAAUAUAAGGAAGAAGCAAAUGACAUUACUUGACUUAUAGCAAAGAUGGUGAACUCCAGCAAAGUUUAAGAGAAAUGACAAUGGAUGCUUACCAUUUUUCAAAUGAACUCUGCUUUAGUCAAAUUGUCUUUUAGCAUAAGGUAAGAAAACAUUAAUGGGUAUUUUUCUAUUUUAGGGUUUCUUUUUCCCUCUGAUGGGUUUCUGUUUUAGUUUUGAGAAAUCAUAGGUAGUAGCAUGGUUGUAGUGGCAGUGUUAACCAAAAGCCCUUCUACAGUGGUUACUAUUAGAACAGUGUAAUUGUCUUUCUUCACCAUUCAGUUUUCAGUGGUACAUUAUAUAUUAUUCUCUCCCAAGCUUGGUAAAACACCCAUGUUACAUGUUGUCACAGUUCCUACAUGAUAUGUUCUUCAAAGUCAUACUCAGAACAGAAUGAAGCAUUUCUUUUAAUAAUAUCCUAAAUGAAGUACAACAUUAACUUUUGCCCAUUAUUGGCCUUUUGCUCUUCAAGAUAAAAAUUAAUGUUUUUCUGUGAAAACAUUCUAAGUAAUUUAUAUCUUAUAAAUACACAUAAGAGAAUGACAGACAGCUCAGGUGUUUGACAGUUAAUUGCUGUAGGAUAAGAAAUGGAAGGAAUAUUAAAAUGUCAGGAAGGGGCUGAUAUUUUAAGAGAGAGUACUUAAUUGGUAAAGUGCCAUAUUAGCAUCAGUACCUACCCAUAUGAAAAGCUGGCACAGGCUUAUACCCUAGUAAUGUAAAAAACAGACGAAAGGAUCUCUGUGAUUGACUGGUCAGUCACCCUAUUGAUUUGGCAAAUACCAGGCCAAUGAGAGGCCAUAUAUCAAAAAAAUGUGGUGGAGGAUUUCUGAAGCUGCAUGCAGACCAACACACACACUCACAAGCACAUGCGCGCAUGCACACACACACGCACACACACACACACACACACACACACACACACACAAAAUUACCCCCGCUAACACAUAGUUACCUCCCCUGACACAUAAUAUUGGGAAAUAAAUGAAAUGCCUCUGAAAUACCAAAUGGCUGGAAUGGUAGUAAUAUAUCAGAGUCACAGGGAGAAUUUUGAGACUCAGUUGACUACCAUCUUCUCCUUAUCCUCCAGCUCCACCAAUUGUUCUCUCCAUCACUUUCUGGAGUCUAGGUCUGUGAUGAAACUCAAAGAUUUGAGUUCGUAGCAGGUUUCAAGUAAUGUUGAUUGAGCUGGUCAAGGACAUUACUUUGAAAAAAAUUCAUACACGGUUACUUGUUUAAAAUAAUCAUUAGCUUAUUCAGUGUGGACUAAUAAUGCGUGUGGGUUUAAUGCCUUUAAGGGGCUCUUCCAUUCCUCAAAAGAUUUGUUUUUAGACAAAGGUUUGUAGAAAAGUAGUAUCUUCUGAAACACAAAGUACAACUUCCUUAAUUACAAAAUGUCAGUUAAGGAUUUAUUUCACUAAUAGAGCAACACUGCUUGCCCAAAGUGUCUUAAUCCUUCCACUUAGAACAGUUUUGUAUGAGAUGAAAACAAUAUUUAGCCUUAGUGUGUAUUGAGUUUAAGUUUAGAUAUUUAUGCAUCAGUUAUGUAUCACUACAUCUUGUGUUUCUUGAAUGUGUAUCUGAAACCAUAUGUGGCAUAAAAUUAGUUUUCUGACAAAUAACGUUCACAUUUGUUAACUUACUUACUUUCCUGUUUAUGCAACAGUGAACUACUUUUUAAACACUCAGAUUUUCAAACUUUAAACACACACACAUACACACACCCCCAUAAGUAUGUUUUACUUGACUCACAAUAUGGAAAUAUUUCACCAAGAUCUGUUUAAAAAUUCAGAAGAAUUCUGCAACAGAUUACAAUUUUAACAUUUUCUGAAACAUUUUCGGUUUUCUGAAAUUAUUUUUAACUAUUCAAACUUGUUGAAGAGAGUUCCUCAAGACACAUAAAGACAUAUCAAGACAUGAAAACAGAGUUUAUCUGUCUUUGUAAAUUUAGAUAUUUGUAAGGAAUGCGAACAAAGACGGGAUUUACAAGUGGAUCUUCUUAGAAAGAAAAAUGUAGACUUCUUUACUGUAGUGAUCACCUCAAGGUGCUCUGUAAGCCUGUCAGUAAGAUUGACUGCUCUUCAGGUACUUAGGAUGUAAUGAAAUUGAAUGUUCAUGCUGAGCUUGGUAAAUAAAAUGAGAUUGACCUCCUAGCCAUUAUCUCCUUUAUCUGAUUUACAUUGUAAAAUCAGGAUCUACACUAUUGAUUGGAGUAUAAUUAGUUAAUUAUGAACAGGAAAAUGCAAAGUUAGGUGGAGCUUGAACACAGCAGGUUGUAGUGCUAAAAUCUUUCCCAGGGCAUGAGCAGAGGGAGAUCAGUUUAUUAGAGAACAAAGCAGACGAGUUUCAGGCACGGAAAUGUCUAAUCCAUUUCUCAUGCUGGGAAGAGAUACUUGACCUUACUGUGUAUUGUCAUGAACUGCCUUGUUUCAUGUUCCGGGUUUCCUUGUUUUUAUUUUGUUUUGUUUUCUUAUUUCACUUUUAAAGUUGCAAGCUGGCUGUUGGCAGAUAUAAAUAAUGAAUUGAUUCCACAUUUUACGUGGGAUUGGAUUUGGCUUUUCCCAAAUAGUGAUAUUUAGUUAUCAAUAUCCAUUUGUAAUGAGGAAUUUUAGACUAUCCUACCACCCACUCAUUUCACUGUUUCCUGUGAGAGAAAUCCCCAGUAGCAUUCACAAGAUAGGUUCAUCAUUUUUAUGAUGUUUGUGAAAUAAGACUUAGAACAAGUUUUGAAUUAACAUGUAUAGAAAACAUUCGUGUAGGUGGUGGCUUGCACUAAAAUUAUUACCUGCUACAAGGAUUAAGAUAGUUUACUUAUAGAUAUUAUACCAUUGAUAGAAUGUAGGGUUUUGUGACAGCUCAUAUUAUUUAAAAAAUUUUAAUGGGCCUCAGUAUAUAUUUAUUCUACAUAUUAAGACAUUUAAUUGAAAUGAUUGAUCAGUGUUCACUGCAGUAACUUAUCACAGUUAGUUGCUGAAAUUGUAUUUGAAUUGCUAGUAAGGUUUUAUUUAAGCAGUGUUAAUAGUCAAGACUAAUUGAAGGGAAAGCCAGAAGAGCCAGCAGUCGGUUCUCCAGAUGCUCAUGUUUCUAGGUGAGAAGCGCAGUGUUCUGUAGUUCCAGAGACAGUUUCCUUAUUCAUCAUUGUAUAGGGAAUACUGCCUGUUGUGCUUCAUUACGGUAACAGAAUAUCUACAGUACAUCCCUUUUAAAGUCUCGCCCCAGAGGCUGCUUCUUUCCAAAGGCCAGUUUGCUUAGGAGGUACCUGCACUUAAUAAACCAGUGUUUUGGGGUUUGUUUGUUUGUUUGUUUGUUUGUUUUAAGGAAUGACUUAGUAUAUGCCAGAAAUAAACUUAUUAUUAUUUGAAACUAAGAAAGCUAAAUAAACCCUUUAGAGCAAUGGUUCUCAACGUUCUUAAUGCUGUAAAAACUCUCUUAUACAUUUCUUUUCAUUGUGGUAAGCACCAACCAUAAAAUUAUUUGUCACUUUCAUAACUAAUUUUUCUAGGGUUAUGAAUUGUAAUGUGAAUAUCUGUGAAUAUCUGUGUUUUCUGAUGGUCAUAGGCAAGUCCUGUGGGGGGGGGGGGGGGCUGUAGGGGUCGCGACCCACAGGUUGAGAACCACUGUUCUAGCACCUUGACUACUUUGUGUAGGCAUAAGAGAAAAUUUUAAGUUAGAUAUGUUUGCUUAUUUCCACAUUGUCAGUAGUCACUCGACACUGAGUUUAAUGCUUGUUAUGUGGAUCAUAGCACACAGGAAGAUCAAUCAUUUUCUCUUCUUCUCUAGGGUGCUGUACUUAAUCAUAACGCUAAGUAAGUAUUUUAAUAAAAAUCGAGCUGUGCUUAUUUAGUCUCUACAUCUUCCUGAAUCAACGUAGAGUGCUCCUCUGUCCUUUGUAUUUGUAUCAAUAUUAAUGUAGUAUGUAGGAAGUUGAACUUGAUAGGUACUUGGUUGGUCAGACUUUGUUCACAUUAAAAAUUGGCUUUGUUUGAUCUCACUAUACUACAAAUUUUAGAAUUCUCUGUAGUCUAAUGUGCACAAUAUUUAUUAAAUAUUUUAAAUAUACUUCUUCAGUCAUCAAGUUUAGUUUUUAUUUAUAGACAUGUUCUUCAUAUGCUAAAUUUAUAUUUUCUUCAUGGUUAAGGUAUUGCCUUUUUACUAUGAUGUGCUAUUGGUAUAAUAAUGUUUUUCUUACAUCAACAUUUGUUUCGUUUAAUAAAGUGUUGUGUUAAUAUCACAGUACUUUUGUGGGUCAGUGACUUCUUUUGAAAAUUUAAACAUUUUAUUCAUUUGUUUUAACAAACUAAGUGUGUUAUUGUAUUUGUACAAUUAAAAUGUUUCCAAGUACUUAUUAGAAAUAGAAACUAAGGAAAAUUAAUCAGUAAGUGUUUUUACCCUAUUGUACUUUUCAGAGUAUAGCCUCAUAUAAGACUUAGUUUUUGAGUUUUAAAAGCAUUUAAAAGUUUUUCUAUAUAGCCAAAAUUUACUGGUUACUAAGUUUUGAUACAAUUUUCACAGUUGUGUGUGUACAUAGGAUAUACAAUCUACUAUUUUAAUCUUCUAUACUCUUAUGUUUUUAAGAAAUUUAAUAGUAUCUCAUAAAUUUGUCAGUAGGCCUAGUUAACACAGAUUUUUCAAAUUCUGCUAGAUUUUACCUCUGCCAUUUAGGAUAUAAUUGUUAGUAGUACCUUCAGUUAUGAUUUGGUUUCAAUUUAACAGAUUUAAUGCAAAUUUUCUACAUGAAAAUAACUUGUAAAAUCCUUUGAAUAUCUUAUAUUUAUUGUUUACUUGGCAAACAUUGACUUCAAAUGGGGUAUUAUUCUGUAAUUUUCUUUCUCUCUCUUGAAUUUUGGUGGUUGCUAGAGUAGAGACCACCACUUUAUGCUAUUUAAACUUGGACUUGCAGCCUUUACUUACUGGGAGUAAGCGAGGACCUUAUAGAACUAUCCUAACACCCCAAUUGUCUGCCAGCAUGAGAAAGACGUCCUGAAAUGUAUCCUGAUGAAGGUGUCAGGAAGAAUUAGGUCAACUCCUAAGAGCAAAUGCUUCACAGCUUCUUCUGAAAGUGCUCCCAAUACCAGAACAGGUAUUGGAUCAUUUAAACAUUUUAAUGUACUUUUAGAUGCCUCAUUUUAAACACUGUCAAUUUGCAUAGCCUUAAUAGUUUUGGUGACCUAAUUUCUGCAUACAGAAGUUCUGUAAGAAAAUUAUGGUUGUAAAAAUAUACUGAUACUAUUAGGAAGCAAUGGCUGGUAGUUUUUAAGGAAGUAGGAACCCUGAAGACCUGGAAAAAUUGAACAUAAAAAUGUCAGACAAAAUAGUAGAUGAAUAGUAUUUUAACUACAGAAACUUGCCACAGAGAUGUAGCUCCAGCUGUCAUUUAGCCUGAUGAUCCUAAUGUAAAAAAUGCAGAGAAAAAAUGUAUUUUAUAUAUUCCCCCUGAUGAACCAAAUAAUGGUAUUCUUUAUAACAUUUCCGUGAAGGAUUAGUGACAUAUUAUAUAGUCCCUGUACUUAGAUCAGUGUUCCUCUGUGACUCCAAACAUUCUGAUCAACGUAGAAGCAGUCUUGAUUAAAAGGUUUUUGUAUCCCAGGAUUUAGUAUUUUAGUUACUGAAAGGUAAAUUAGUUCAACUGAGAAAGGAAGACCCAGAGUAUUAAUUCUGUGGUCUUGCUAUCCUUAUUUUACAUUUGAUAUUAACUACAUAAUCUUAUUUUUAAAUCCCAGAGAAACAGUUAUUUGAACAUUUAAAAUUUUAAUAUAUUUUUGGAUCAGUGGAAUAAUAUAUGGCAUUUGUCAGUUUCAUUUUAUUCACUCCUGCAACUGGGAUUACAGUAAAUGCACAAUUCAAGUUCAUUUUUUGAAUCUCAGAGUUUUGAAAAAAUAUUCAUUCACUUAUUUCAUUGACAAGAACCUUAUAAUUAUAGAGUAAUGAUGAGUAAGUCAUAGUAGAUAACUAUCUCACACUUCCAUGUGCCUGCAUGACUUGACUCUGGAAUUCUGAAAUAUUCCUUGACAGGCUAGGUUUUUGUAGCAUAGUAAGAAAUUUUGACUAAAAAUAUAGAUAAUUGUUUUCUUUAUUGUGAUCAUUUUUUAAGUUACUUUUCUUUGGACAUAUGCAUGAGAAUAAUUCCUUUCUGUAUUUCCCAAUGUUUACUGAAUAGGAAUUUUGUGUUGUACUCAAGCAACCUGCUUAAUAAAUUCCUUCCUUGGUGUUUUAAUUGACUUUUUAUGCUCUAAACCGUGAGAAAUCAGUAAUAACGAGAAUUUGAUUGGUUAAAAAGUACUCCUCUGUAAUUAAAAGUACAAAGAAAAUCAGAAAUAAAACCCAUUUUGUAAGAUGUAUACAUCUUGAUACUAGUUGCUCAAUUUUGGACUUCUGAUUUCAGUUGUUGCAAAAUUCAUUUUUAAAACACUGAAAUAAUACAGAUUUUUCUUCAUUGUCAGCAGGAUGAGAUUGUCUGAAGCGAAGAAUAGGUAUGGUAGUUUUCUUAGAUUGUGUACUUCAUAUGAGGCAAGACACUAUCAAAACAUCUGCUGAGUGCUAAGUAUCCUCAGAAGUACUUGAAACACCAAGUACAUGGCAGAACUUGACAAAAACUAGUGAGAGUAAUAUCCAAUCCUUGAAGUGGCUGCUUGCAUAUUUAAAUAUUCUGUUACUUAACAUAAAAAGAUUAUAUCUGCUGUAGAUUGUGUUAGCAUGCUAUAAAUGUUAGAAAGUUCAUUUGCAGUAUACUUUAACCUGAAAAAAAUACAAAAAUGAAGUAUAAAUUGUAUGGCAGAAAUUACAGCUUAGAUUUCUGUGAACUGUCUACUGGAUAAAUGAUUAAUUCUAUUUGUUCAAAAUUGAAUUUUGAUUGCUAAUUUUUGCACAUAUGCUUACAUAUAUAUUCAUUCAUUCAUAUUUUAACAUUUAUAUACUCUGAACUUUUUUAUCAGAAUGUUGUUCCUUUCUAAUUGUAUUGUUUCAAUUUUUUCAUCUAUAAUAUUUAUUUAAGAUUUAGAUCAUUAUGAUAAAUGUUAAUUUCAGAAUCUCCUGAGCAAAGGUUAGAGUUAUAUGUUAAAGUCGCUAUGUAACACUGUGUUCUUUUGUCUUUGAAAUGAGUAGUUUCAACAUUCAGAUCCACUCUGACUCUGCUUGCCCUGCAGGUGUGAUGAAUGCAGGCUGUGCUACCAUUUUGGCUGUUUAGAUCCUCCUUUGAAAAAGUCUCCUAAACAAACAGGCUAUGGAUGGAUAUGUCAGGAAUGUGACUCUUCAUCUUCUAAGGAAGAUGAAAAUGAAGCUGAAAAGAAAAACGCAUCUCAGGAGCUCAGCAUGGAGCAGAAAACUCCAAAGAAGUAAAGGAUUGUCCAGUGUGUUCUGAAGCGUGUACAACUUAGGCUCAAGCAGAUAACGUUUCUGAUUUAUAAAAUGUUAAUUGUAAAAUCUAAUUUACAAAACUGUUCUCAAUAAAGUCCUUGAAAUAGGA